GUUGUAUUGGUGAGAUCACGAGAUCAACAAACAACAAUAACCUACUUCGCAUGUCCGACGUUGAUUUCCUUUUGUUUUUGUAUGUAUUCCUUUUUGGGGUUCUAUCAUUAAGUUAUUCUAUAGUUCCAGAAUUGUAAAACAUAUAGGCAAAUAUAGCAUAUAUAUAUUUUUUUUUUUAAAUGACAUGAACUAGGCCUACCUGAAAAGCAUCUGUUAGGUUGCUUCUUCCCCCAUUAGGUUACUCACUUAUAGUAUUCACUUUUUGUAUUUGAACUGUGCAGCUUGGACACGGCAUACUUUUGCCUUUUUGCCUAGAUAAGGCGCCUAUGUUUAGCGAAGCUCCUCUGGUGGAAUCACAAGCAUUGACUAGAGUGGCCGCGAUCAGGUCCGGCGGCCGCGUUGGAGCCGGAACUCGCCGCAGAAGCUCCCAGGUGAAAUCUAGGCGUUAAAAUAUCUUGCUAGUUUAACGUAAUGUCGGCGGUUUGUAGAUGAUGAUAAAUUAAAUCCAUUACACCAGCACAUGGGGCACGAACCACACAAAAACCUUUGUAGUCAAGGAACACAAACAAAGCAUCAUAGUGCAAAACUGGCUGCAAGACAAACUACAACAGAAGACCACAAUUUCGGCUCAAACAUAGAACCACACAACACCAGAACCAAAGACUGUCAACAUGCCAAGGUGUAGUGAACCUCAACAAGAUGCCCCGGGCUGUAAGGGAAAAAGUGUCCCAUUUGAGACUUUAAUUUGCAGAGAGUGGAGACUCUGUGGGAUACUCCAGUAACAAGAUGCGAGGGGGGUUCUCCAGGUAUAUUUUACAGACCCCUGAUUUCCUGGACAGUGCCCAGAAUGUCAAUUUUAUGGCAGGAUAAUGGACUGUGUUUUAGGCUUUUUAUCAUAUUUGUACAAGUUGUCUCAUUGAGAAAAUCUCUUGUUAAUGCACAUUAAAACAUUUUAGAGCUUGAUUUGGUGUUGAGCUUGAAUGCUUGGGAAAAUUUGGCAAAUCUAUGCAAAUAAUAUAAUCAUAGUCGAUGUACAACUAAAAAUUGGUAUGGUCUUUUAAGAGUUUUGAGUUUGGAUGGUAUAAACAUGUGAAACAAUGUUGUUUUGGUGUCUAGCUUAAACAAGUUUUCGAGAGAUACUGUUGGUAAGCUAAUACUAGUAAUGUAAACGUAAUAUUCCUAGUCAAGUGAUUCUAUAGACAUUGUUAGUGAUUUGAGUAAUACUAGUAAUAGCUAUGCUAAUAUAUUCUAAAUGAUAUUGUUAUAAUUUAGAUGUAGGUUUUACAUGUACUGUCUUUAAUUGUGUAA
ensembl:lncRNA